rnacentral:rRNA from 1 species
UACGUAGGGCGCAAGCGUUGUCCGGAAUUAUUGGGCGUAAAGAGCUCGUAGGCGGUCUGUUACGUCCGCUGUGAAAACCCAGGGCUUAACCCUGGGCUUGCAGUGGAUACGGGCAGACUAGAGGCAGGUAGGGGAGAAUGGAAUUCCCGGUGUAGCGGUGAAAUGCGCAGAUAUCGGGAGGAACACCGGUGGCGAAGGCGGUUCUCUGGGCCUGACCUGACGCUGAGGAGCGAAAGCGUGGGAGCGAACAGG